UUGAGUGAUCGAAAUCCGAGGCGAAAUGAAAGUGAAGGCGAUUCGGUCGCUGAGGUGAGAGCCUUUUACAAAAAAAGGCGCAUCAUUGACCGACCUAUUCUACUCUUAGAAAGGUUUGAGUAAGAGCGCAUCUGUUGGGACCCGAAAGAUGGUGAACUAUGCCUGAAUAGGGUGAAGCCAGAGGAAACUCUGGUGGAGGCUCGUAGCGAUUCUGACGUGCAAAUCGAUCGUCAAAUUUGGGUAUAGGGGCGAAAGACUAAUCGAACUGUCUAGUAGCUGGUUCCCUCCGAAGUUUCCCUCAGGAUAGCUGGAACUUACGGCAGUUUUAUCAGGUAAAGCGAAUGAUUAGAGGUCUUAGGGUUAAAACAACCUUAACCUAUUCUCAAACUUUAAAUUGGUAAGAAGUCCGACUUGCUUAAUUGAAGCCGGACAGUGAAUGCGAGUUCCUAGUGGGCCAUUUUUGGUAAGCAGAACUGGCGAUGCGGGAUGAACCGAACGCGCGGUUAAGGUGCCAAAGUCGACGCUCAUCAGACCCCACAAAAGGUGUUGGUUGCUCUAGACAGCAGGACGGUGGCCAUGGAAGUUGGAAUCCGCUAAGGAGUGUGUAACAACUCACCUGCCGAAGCAACUAGCCCUGAAAAU
rnacentral:ncRNA from 1 species